rnacentral:rRNA from 1 species
AUACGUAGGGGGCGAGCGUUGUCCGGAAUGAUUGGGCGUAAAGGGCGCGUAGGCGGCCCGGUAAGUCUGGAGUGAAAGUCCUGUUUUUAAGAUGGGAAUUGCUUUGGAUACUGUCGGGCUUGAGUGCAGGAGAGGUAAGUGGAAUUCCCAGUGUAGCGGUGAAAUGCGUAGAGAUUGGGAGGAACACCAGUGGCGAAGGCGACUUACUGGACUGUAACUGACGCUGAGGCGCGAAAGUGUGGGGAGCAAACAGGAUUAGAUACCCUGGUAGUCCACACUGUAAACGGUGAAUGCUAGGUGUAGGGGGUAUCGACCCCUUCUGUGCCGCAGUCAACACAAUAAGCAUUCCGCCUGGGGAGUACGGCCGCAAGGUUGAAACUCAAAGGAAUUGACGGGG